GCCUUCGUGGUGAAGUGGUCAGCAUGCUCGACGCGUAACCGAGAGGUCCGUGGUUCGAUUCACGGCAAAGGUU
rnacentral:tRNA from 1 species